GCCUACGGGGGCAGCAGUGGGGAAUAUUGCGCAAUGGGCGAAAGCCUGAUGGAGCAACGCCGCGUGGGUGAAGAAGGUCUUCGGAUCGUAAAACCCUGUUGUUAGAGAAGAAAGUGCGUGAGAGUAACUGUUCACGUUUCGACGGUAUCUAACCAGAAAGCCACGGCUAACUACGUGCCAGCAGCCGCGGUAAUACGUAGGUGGCAAGCGUUAUCCGGAUUUAUUGGGCGUAAAGGGAACGCAGGCGGUCUUUUAAGUCUGAUGUGAAAGCCUUCGGCUUAACCGGAGUAGUGCAUUGGAAACUG
rnacentral:rRNA from 1 species